rnacentral:misc_RNA from 1 species
CGCACAAUCACACAGUAUAGAAAAUGGAUUAAGAAUAACACAACAUUUAUGUGGUUUGAUAGUAAGGUUUAUGUUCAUGGGUAAGAUGAGAGAAAGUUUCACUAUGAUGAAAAAAUCAAAAUACAAUUACUCAGAACUUUCUUAGUUGAUAGAUUUUUUCUGUUUAUCUUACUUGGAUAUGCUUAAAUGUUCUGCAUUUCUGCUGGAUUAGCUGUUUACUGCCAUACCUCAGCACAAGUAUUUACCUUGUGAAAUGAAAUAAAAUCUGAAAUCAAGAAAAUUAUUACUUUUUGUAGAUCAUGCAAUUUACUAAAACUUCGAUGUUAAAUUGCUAAUAUAUACAAACACGCCCUGUCCAACUUUUUUCAGAUAUGUGCCUGCAUAAUGACUUCAUGUGUAUUUUGUACUUGUAAUACAAUGUUCAUUUGCUAAGUCAUUCAUUCAAGAAAAUUAAAGAAACAACUUCAUUUCUUAAGACAAUAAAAUGCAGUAUUUCCAUUUCUUCCUUGAUAGUUGAUUCCUUAUGCUGUGCACUUUAAUUUGAUUCUGGUCUUUUUUGUUUUUUUAAAAAAAAGAAAAGUGUCAUAAUUAAUGAUCAUUAAGCUUCUUUUGUGACCAUUAAGCUUGAGAUUAUUUUUUCCAUUGACAUACCUCUCAUGUGGUAUGUGAACAGGAAAUAUAGGGAGCAUGUGAAGGA